ACGCUCGACACCUACGAGGCAGCAGUGGGGAAUAUUGCACAAUGGGGGAAACCCUGAUGCAGCGACGCCGCGUGAAGGAAGAAGUAUCUCGGUAUGUAAACUUCUAUCAGCAGGGAAGAAAAUGACGGUACCUGACUAAGAAGCCCCGGCUAACUACGUGCCCGCAGCCGCGGUAAUCUGAGCGGGCGUGGCAAGGC
rnacentral:rRNA from 1 species